AUCUAUGGCCAUGCCACCCUGAACACGCCCGAUCCCGUCUGAUCUCGGAAGCUAAGCAAGGUCGGGCCUGGUGAGUACUUGGAUGGGAGACCACCUAGGAAGACCAGGUGCUGUAGGUG
rnacentral:rRNA from 1 species